rnacentral:rRNA from 1 species
GACGAACGCUGGCGGCGUGCUUAACACAUGCAAGUCGAACGGAAAGGCCCUGCUUUUGUGGGGUGCUCGAGUGGCGAACGGGUGAGUAACACGUGAGUAACCUGCCCUUGACUUUGGGAUAACUUCAGGAAACUGGGGCAAAUACCGGAUAGGAGCCCCUGUUCCAGGGGGGGGGUUGGAAAGUUUCGGCGGUUGGGGUUGGACGCGCGGCUUAUCAGCUUGUUGGUGGGGUAGUGGCUUACCAAGGCUUUGACGGGUAGCCGGCCUGAGAGGGUGACCGGCCACAUUGGGACUGAGAUACGGCCCAGACUCCUACGGGAGGCAGCAGUGGGGAAUAUUGCACAAUGGGCGGAAGCCUGAUGCAGCAACGCCGCGUGCGGGAUGACGGCCUUCGGGUUGUAAACCGCUUUCGCCUGUGACGAAGCGUGAGUGACGGUAAUGGGUAAAGAAGCACCGGCUAACUACGUG